GGAGGUGGGAGGCUGUACUGGUUAGAAGUCAAUGCAGGGAGUGCUGAGGAAACAGUGGUGCUACUUUAUAUGGAUCUACAUCUAACCAGGAUUUUAGCUUUGCUCUCAAGAAGACCCAAGCUGUUCUUUCCUCAGAAAGCUUACACUGUCACCCAAAUUAUUACCAGGGAUAAUUAAACUAAAUGAUGGAUUACACUUUAAUGGCAACCAUAUAUCUGUCAUGAAGAGCUCCCUUCAGACAUCUUAGGAAGGCAGUGCUGUCUUGAGGAUAGAACACUGGACAGAGACUCCAAUCUAGACUAAUUUAUCAUCUCUCCUACUGGGUGACCUAGAACAAGCCAUGGUGCCUCAGUUUCCCCAUCUUUAAAAUAGAGCAGCCAUGGUGAUUCUAUUCCCCUCCAUGUAAAGCCAGGAGGGCAGGUCUACUCCAAAAUAGCACUUUCAAUUUACACAAGCUGCUCUUGAAGUGAGGAAAGGAUCCAUGUUGAAGCCUCCAGACAAUGGGCUAUUGACUGCACUACACAACAACCCAAGGAGUAAAGGUCCCAAUGGUUGCUAAAUCUGGGUCUCCUACUGAUGAUGUUUCCAGUAACAUUCCUGCCAUUCAACAUGUUCACUAGAAUAUUUGCGGAAAGUGAAAGCACAGGAGCAUGAAAACCGCCAUCAUGGACACAUUUUAUUCAUGCACAUAUUAAUUUUGUGAAGAAUUCAUGCAGCUCUACCUUACAUCUUUCAAGGUACUAAUACAAAUAUGGAAUAGGCACAUUUUUCUAAACUCAGUGAGAAUUCUACAAACCCUAUAUAACCUCUCAUAGAUCAAGGCCAGAUCCUCAACUAGUAUAAAUCACUGUAGCUCAGUUGACUUCAAGCAAGCAACCCUGAUUUGCAGUAGCUGAAGAUAUAGCCCAGGGUCCACUAUCUGUUUUUAUCGGCUUCCUUCCAUUAGGGCAAAGUGUA